rnacentral:rRNA from 1 species
UACGUAGGGUGCAAGCGUUGUCCGGAUUUAUUGGGCGUAAAGAGCUCGUAGGCGGUUUGUCGCGUCGGAUGUGAAAACCCAGGGCUCAACCCUGGGCCUGCAUUCGAUACGGGCAGACUAGAGUAUGGCAGGGGAGACUGGAAUUCCUGGUGUAGCGGUGAAAUGCGCAGAUAUCAGGAGGAACACCGGUGGCGAAGGCGGGUCUCUGGGCCAAGACUGACGCUGAGGAGCGAAAGCGUGGGGAGCGAACAGG